CAAGAUCGGAUAUAGCUGGUUUUCCGCAAAAUCUAUUUUAGUAGAGAGUGCAUAUAAUAUAGCCCGAGGUAGAGCACUCAAUGGGAUAGGGUGGCCCAAAGCUUUACCAACCCCAAGGAAACUCUGAGUACAGGCUUAAUCAAUCAUAAAGACAGACUUUGGGUGCUAAGAUCCAGAGUCGAGAAGGAAACAACCUAGAUCGUAUGCUAAGGUACCAAAGAAAUUGCUUAGUGGAAAAGGAAGUGAUCGAGUGAUGAAAACCAGGAGGUGGGCUUGGAAGCAGCCAUCCUUCGAAGAAAGUGUAAUAGCUUACUGGUCUAGCUCCAUGGCACCGAAAAUGUAUCAGGGCUCAAGUGAUUCAC
rnacentral:ncRNA from 1 species